GACGAACGCUGGCGGCGUGCUUAACACAUGCAAGUCGAACGGAAAGGCCCUGCUUUUGUGGGGUGCUCGAGUGGCGAACGGGUGAGUAACACGUGAGUAACCUGCCCUUGACUUUGGGAUAACUUCAGGAAACUGGGGCUAAUACCGGAUAGGAGCUCCUGCGGCAUGGUGGGGGUUGGAAAGUUUCGGCGGUUGGGGAUGGACUCGCGGCUUAUCAGCUUGUUGGUGGGGUAGUGGCUUACCAAGGCUUUGACGGGUAGCCGGCCUGAGAGGGUGACCGGCCACAUUGGGACUGCGAUACGGCCCAGACUCCUACGGGAGGCAGCAGUGGGGAAUAUUGCACAAUGGGCGGAAGCCUGAUGCAGCAACGCCGCGUGCGGGAUGACGGCCUUCGGGUUGUAAACCGCUUUCGCCUGUGACGAAGCGUGAGUGACGGUAAUGGGUAAAGAAGCACCGGCUAACUACGUG
rnacentral:rRNA from 1 species